GGCUGGUCCUAGUGCUGUGGUGUUUACAACUAAUUGAUCACAACUAGUUACAGAUUUUUUGUUCCGUCUCCACUCCCACUGCUUCACUUGACUAGCCUCAA
rnacentral:Y_RNA from 1 species